GUGCUGUAAUACAUCACUAGUUUUCCUGAAUGGCAAAGGUAAGGAAGAAGAAGCAAGUGAUAUGAAUUGCCAUAGCAUCUAUUCCAUUCGCUACUGCCUUUCCAGUCUGGAACUUAGUUCCUCAUGGAAGUGAUUACAAGCAACUGCUUGUCAGCAAAGUGAAUCCUCAUCGCUACUACCUCUUUACAUUUCUUAUAAUUUUUAAUGACAUACUAUGUUCUUACUGACCAUGUAUAAACUUGUGUAAUUUUGUCCAAGAGUGUUCUAACCCAUUCAAUCACUCACAGGCUCCAAACUGUUAAGACAUCUACUGCAUCUCCUGUUUGACCUGGAGUAGAGAUGCAAUUGAUGAUACGCAGAAUGAAUGAGUGAUCUCUGUCUGUGUUUUCAUGUAGAUUUUGAAAAGAACAGGCAAGAGGACCAACUCGAGUCACCUUGCUUUGAAAUGCCCAAGGACUCACACUGUUUUCAACUGGUAUUGAUGGAAUCUCCCAGUCAAGAAGGAGAGGAUCUAUUGUAGAGCAAUCGUCCCAGUCUCCAACGCUCACAGGGAUACUAUACAUGUUUAAUCAGAUGGCAAAAUAUUUUAUUCAUAUGACCAUAUAAUCACCCUGGAAAACUUAUAAAGUGUUUUAACUUGCAAGUUAUUUCCAUCGGAAUGGGCAUUUAAGUAACCUUAAUUGUCUCAGUCCAGCAAUGGAGAACUACAUGUAGGAACAGAUGCUAAGCCUGUGCAAGAGAUACAGUUUCAAACUGCGAUGUACAUCCACGUUUCCCUGCUGAACCACUUGUAUGUAACUAUUGAUGUG